rnacentral:rRNA from 1 species
UACGUAGGGGGCUAGCGUUGUCCGGAAUCAUUGGGCGUAAAGAGCGUGUAGGCGGCCCGGUAAGUCCGCCGUAAAAGUCAAAGGCUCAACCUUUGAAUGUCAGUGGAUACUGCCGGGCUAGAGUCCGGAAGAGGCGAGUGGAAUUCCUGGUGUAGCGGUGAAAUGCGCAGAUAUCAGGAGGAACACCUACGGCGAAGGCAGCUCGCUGGGACGGUACUGACGCUGAGACGCGAAAGCGUGGGGAGCAAACAGG